UACAGAGGGUGCGAGCGUUGUCCGGAAUCACUGGGCGUAAAGGGCGCGUAGGCGGCUUGAUAAGCGUGCGGUGAAAGCCCGGGCUCAACCCCGGGUCGGCCGUGCGAACUGUCGAGCUGGAGCACUGUAGAGGCAGGUGGAAUUCCGGGUGUAGCGGUGGAAUGCGUAGAGAUCCGGAAGAACACCGGUGGCGAAGGCGGCCUGCUGGGCAGUUGCUGACGCUGAGGCGCGACAGCGUGGGGAGCAAACAGG
rnacentral:rRNA from 1 species